rnacentral:rRNA from 1 species
AUGACGGUACCUGGAGAAGCAGCUGCGGCUAACUACGUGCCAGCAGCCGCGGUAAUACGUAGGCAGCAAGCGUUGUUCGGAGUUACUGGGCGUAAAGGGUGUGUAGGCGGUUCUUUAAGUUUAAUGUGAAAUCUCCCGGCUCAACCGGGAGGGUGCGCCGAAUACUGAGGGACUAGAGUGUGGGAGAGGAAAGUGGAAUUCCUGGUGUAGCGGUGAAAUGCGUAGAUAUCAGGAGGAACACCGGUGGUGGGGGCGGCUUUCUGGACCAUGGCUGACGCUGAGACACGAAAGCGUGGGUAGCAAACAGGAUUAGAUACCCUGGUASGACUCCCUAAACGAUGCAUAUUUGGUGUGGGUCAUUCAGUUGAUCCGUGCCGGAGCUAACGCGUUAAAUAUGCCGCCUGGGGAGUACAGUCGCAAGGCUGAAACUCAAAGGAAUUGACGGGGGCCCGCACAAGCGGUGGAGCAUUGGUUCAAUUCGACGCAACGCGAAGAACCUUACCUGGGCUCGAACGGCUGGUCAACGCCGGUAGAAAUACCGGUACCCCGCAAGGGGGUCCAGUCGGGGUGCUGCAUGGCUGUCGUCAGCUCGUGUCGUGAGAUGUUGGGUUAAGUCCCGCAACGAGCGCAACCCUUGUCCUGUGUUGCCAUCAUUCAGUUGGGAACUCGCAGGAGACCGCCAGCGAUAAGCUGGAGGAAGGUGGGGAUGACGUCAAGACGUCAUGGCCUUUAUGUCCAGGGCUACACACGUGCUACAAUGGACGGUACAAACCGCAGCAAACCCGCGAGGGGGAGCCAAUCGGAAAAAACCGUUCUCAGUUCGGAUUGCAGGCUGCAACUCGCCUGCAUGAAGCUGGAAUCGCUAGUAAUGGCAGAUCAGCACGCUGCCGUGAAUACGUUCCCGGGCCUUGUACACACCGCCCGUCACAUCACGAAAGUGGAUUGUACUGUGAAGUC